rnacentral:rRNA from 1 species
GUGGGGAAUAUUGGACAAUGGGCGCAAGCCUGAUCCAGCCAUGCCGCGUGAGUGAUGAAGGCCCUAGGGUUGUAAAGCUCUUUCACCGGUGAAGAUAAUGACGGUAACCGGAGAAGAAGCCCCGGCUAACUUCGUGCCAGCAGCCGCGGUAAUACGAAGGGGGCUAGCGUUGUUCGGAAUUACUGGGCGUAAAGCGCACGUAGGCGGGUAUUUAAGUCAGGGGUGAAAUCCCGGAGCUCAACUCCGGAACUGCCUUUGAUACUGGGUACCUAGAGUAUGGAAGAGGUAAGUGGAAUUCAGAGUGUAGAGGUGAAAUUCGUAGAUAUUCGGAGGAACACCAGUGGCGAAGGCGGCUUACUGGUCCAUUACUGACGCUGAGGUGCGAAAGCGUGGGGAGCAAACAGGAUUAGAAACCCCUGUAGUCC